rnacentral:rRNA from 1 species
UACGAAGGGAGCUAGCGUUAUCCGGAAUCACUGGGCGUAAAGCGUGCGUAGGUGGCGUGUUAAGUGUGAUGUUAAAUCGUGGGGCUCAACCCUAUCGAUGCAUCGCAUACUGGCAUGCUAGAGGGAAGCAGAGGCAAGUGGAAUUUGUAGUGUAGCAGUGAAAUGCGUAGAUAUUACAAGGAACACCAAUGGCGAAGGCAGCUUGCUGGGCUUCUUCUGACACUGAGGUACGAAAGCGUGGGGAGCGAACAGGG